UGGGGAAUAUUGGACAAUGGGGGCAACCCUGAUCCAGCCAUGCCGCGUGUGUGAAGAAGGCCUCGGGUUGUAAAGCACUUUUCCAAGCGAGGAAGAACGCCUAGCGGUUAAUA
rnacentral:rRNA from 1 species